rnacentral:rRNA from 1 species
CAUAGGUUAAUGAGGCGAACCGGGGGAACUGAAACAUCUAAGUACCCCGAGGAAAAGAAAUCAACCGAGAUUCCCCCAGUAGCGGCGAGCGAACGGGGAGCAGCCCAGAGCCUGAAUCAGUGUGUGUGUUAGUGGAAGCGUCUGGAAAGGCGCGCGAUACAGGGUGACAGCCCCGUACACAAAAAUGCACAUACUGUGAGCUCGAUGAGUAGGGCGGGACACGUGGUAUCCUGUCUGAAUAUGGGGGGACCAUCCUCCAAGGCUAAAUACUCCUGACUGACCGAUAGUGAACCAGUACCGUGAGGGAAAGGCGAAAAGAACCCCGGCGAGGGGAGUGAAAAAGAACCUGAAACCGUGUACGUACAAGCAGUGGGAGCACGCUUCGGCGUGUGACUGCGUACCUUUUGUAUAAUGGGUCAGCGACUUAUAUUCUGUAGCAAGGUUAACCGAAUAGGGGAGCCGAAGGGAAACCGAGUCUUAACUGGGCGUUAAGUUGCAGGGUAUAGACCCGAAACCCGGUGAUCUAGCCAUGGGCAGGUUGAAGGUUGGGUAACACUAACUGGAGGACCGAACCGACUAAUGUUGAAAAAUUAGCGGAUGACUUGUGGCUGGGGGUGAAAGGCCAAUCAAACCGGGAGAUAGCUGGUUCUCCCCGAAAGCUAUUUAGGUAGCGCCUCGUGAAUUCAUCUCCGGGGGUAGAGCACUGUUUCGGCAAGGGGGUCAUCCCGACUUACCAACCCGAUGCAAACUGCGAAUACCGGAGAAUGUUAUCACGGGAGACACACGGCGGGUGCUAACGUCCGUCGUGAAGAGGGAAACAACCCAGACCGCCAGCUAAGGUCCCAAAGUCAUGGUUAAGUGGGAAACGAUGUGGGAAGGCCCAGACAGCCAGGAUGUUGGCUUAGAAGCAGCCAUCAUUUAAAGAAAGCGUAAUAGCUCACUGGUCGAGUCGGCCUGCGCGGAAGAUGUAACGGGGCUAAACCAUGCACCGAAGCUGCGGCAGCGACACUAUGUGUUGUUGGGUAGGGGAGCGUUCUGUAAGCCUGUGAAGGUGUACUGUGAGGUAUGCUGGAGGUAUCAGAAGUGCGAAUGCUGACAUAAGUAACGAUAAAGCGGGUGAAAAGCCCGCUCGCCGGAAGACCAAGGGUUCCUGUCCAACGUUAAUCGGGGCAGGGUGAGUCGACCCCUAAGGCGAGGCCGAAAGGCGUAGUCGAUGGGAAACAGGUUAAUAUUCCUGUACUUGGUGUUACUGCGAAGGGGGGACGGAGAAGGCUAUGUUGGCCGGGCGACGGUUGUCCCGGUUUAAGCGUGUAGGCUGGUUUUCCAGGCAAAUCCGGAAAAUCAAGGCUGAGGCGUGAUGACGAGGCACUACGGUGCUGAAGCAACAAAUGCCCUGCUUCCAGGAAAAGCCUCUAAGCAUCAGGUAACAUCAAAUCGUACCCCAAACCGACACAGGUGGUCAGGUAGAGAAUACCAAGGCGCUUGAGAG